rnacentral:rRNA from 1 species
CGAAGGGGCUGGCGUUGUUCGGAAUUACUGGGCGUAAAGCGCGCGCAGGUGGUCUUUCAAGUCAGUGGUGAAAGCCCGGAGCUCAACUCCGGAAAUGCCAUUGAAACUGUAAGACUUGAGGAUGAGAGAGGUGAGUGGAAUUCCCAGUGUAGAGGUGAAAUUCGUAGAUAUUGGGAAGAACACCGGUGGCGAAGGCGGCUCACUGGCUCAUAUCUGACGCUCAGGCGCGACAGCGUGGGGAUCAAACAGGAUUAGAUACCCUGGUAGUCCACGCCGUAAACGAUGAAUGCUAGCCGUUGGGCAGCUUGCUGUUCAGUGGCGCAGCUAACGCAUUAAGCAUUCCGCCUGGGAGUACGGCCGCAAGGUCG